ensembl:lncRNA
CUGCUUCACUGUUCUCGCCCUUCCCUUGAAUUUGCCAAUCGUGCUAGCUUGUGAAACCACACUAAACAGAGCGGGCUUCCCACUCAGUGUGCUCGCCGGUCACACUUGUUGGUUGUGCAUCUUUCUGCAAAAGUAAACUUUGCCUUGCCAAUCCAUUUUCGGAGCGCGCGGCGCCGGCGGAAGACAUUUCCAGCAAUUUAGGGGCUCGUCUGGGAUCCAUGUCACCUGGAGGGGUCGAAAGAACGUUCGUCCCCACCCCAGGAGAUGCGUCCCACUAUCUCGUUAUGGUGGCCUCCAGGGAGGGGAAAUCUGCUACCCCUUGGGUUGACAGCGGACUCCGGGUCGGAAGUCCAUCAACAACGCAGGGGAGGGGCCCAGGCAGGCACAUUGGCGACCAGGUUACUCCGUGCAGGGACCAAGGUUGCGUCAGGACCCACCCCUUGGAUUUCUGGUGCAUCUUCUUCAGCCUGGUAACCAUAUCCUGAUAAAGACCUGGAAGGAAGACAAACUUGAACCACCCUGGGAAGGACCUUACCAGAUGCUGCUCACGACUGAAACAGCUGUUCACACAGCAGAGAAAUGUUGGACUCAUUACAUGCAAGUCAAAGGGACUGAAUCCCCUAAUCAAGAGGAACAAUGAUCCAUGGUCCAACAUCCCAAUCCUACACAGCUGACUUUGAAAAGACUUUGAUACUCGUCUUGGUCAUCCUGUAUACCAAGAUGCAGAUUGUUGGGGGCAGCCCUUACCUGGUCAACUUAAUUAUUAGUGUGACCACGAGCAGGGAUCCCCUAACUGUGAAAACUGAUGCUUGCCAGGUCUUACCUUGUGAUAACUUACACAGCUAUCUAUAGAACAUAAGUACCUUUGUCCUGAACCAGUAUGGGGCAUGUCAGGAAAUGAUCCACACCAACUCCCCUGCUCUAGUUGGGCCAAAGUAUGGUGGAUUACCCAGUAUGGGGGUUACACGGCUGAGCCACAUAAAGCAGCUCCCACCCUAGCGGAACUAAAAGAUAGGUUAUCCCUGACAAGGGGGGGUACCCGGAGAUGAUUGUGGGAAUCUACAACAUAGCCCACUCCUAUUAAUGAUAAAACCAGGGAAAACCAGUCCAUCUCUUGAGCAUUGGUAUGGACUGUGCUGUGCUUAGUUGCUCAGUCCUGUUUGACUCUUUGCAACCCCAUGGACUAUAGCCUACCAGGCUCCUCUGUCCAUGGGGAUUCUCCAGGCAAGAAUACUGGAGUGGGUUGCUAUGCCCUCCUCCAGGGGAUCUUCCCGACCCCAGGAUUGCAGGCAGAUUCUUUACUGUCUGAGCCAGAAGGGAAGCCCUGGUAUGGACUAGGGGCAGAUGUAUCUGGGAGAUCCACUGCAAAGAUUAGCUAUUAAACUUGUUAAAAAUUACCUCCUAAUUAGUGCCACAGACGCAAAGCUUCUGAACCAAUUCAACCCCCAGCUCCCAAUGACCCUACCAAGGUCGCCAUGGUAGAGGUGAAGGAUUUCCUCCAAACCGUAGAGAUCGAGGCUGGAUAUGGGAAAACAAAUGCCUG